UCCUAAGAUGAGCUUAACGAGAACAGAAAUCUCAUGUGGAACAGAAGGGUAAAAGCUCGCUUGAUUCUGAUUUCCAGUAUGAAUAUGAAUCAUGAAAGCAUGGCCUUAC
rnacentral:rRNA from 1 species